UAUUUGUUACAACCAAAACUUGGUUGCCGCCUUUGCCAAUUAGUGGACCCUUAAUUCUUCCCUUAAUUUCCCUUCUUCUUUCAAGGAUUUUCCUCCUGUCUCUCUCCUCACUUCUGUCUCCUUAAAUACCCCCCAAUAGGAUCAUUGGCUCCAGAAGCAAAAACUAGAGAGACUCACAUAGAGAAAAGUCAUUUUGUGUCAAGCAAAAGAACCAGAUUAUUAAUUGUUCCUCCCCUUUUUGUUGGUCUCCUCUUACUCUUUCUGUCCCUCUGAUAUAUAAUUAAGGGUAUGCAGUAGGUCUUGAUUUUGCUGUCAAAUGGGACCAUUUUCUUUUCUGGAACCAUUUCUUUUCUAUGUCUCAACUCAUCACACACACAUAUACUUGUCAAGUUCAAGCUGAGGCCAGCUCCUUGGUGGAUAUUGUUAUCUACUCUGAUUGGAGAAAUGAUGUGCUCGUCUGGCUCCCUAGAUGUCAUGUAAGAAGUUUGUCAAAAUUAACAAUCUUUUUAUUUGGCAUGAAGGGAGUCAUGGAGGCUAUUUAAUCCCUCAAUCACAUAUGAAGAGAUUCAUGCAAAUUUUGAUGAUACAGAUUGUUAUCUAUUCUAAUCGAUGAAAUGAUAUACUUAUCUGACUUCCUCUAUGUAAUGUAAGAAACUUGUCAAAAGGGUUUGACAACAUUUUUAUUUAGCAUUUGAGGAGUCAAGUAAGUCACUCAAGUCAUUCAAUCAGACACGAGGAGAGUCAAGCAUUUUGGUGAUACACAUUGUUAUCAAUUUUGAUUGGUGAAAUGAUGUGUUUGCCUGGCUCCCUGCAUGCCAUGUAAGAAGCUUGUCAAAAAAAAUUGACAACCUUUUUAUUUGGCAUACAGGGAGUCAAGCAGACUAGUCAACUCUCUCAAUCAAACAUGAAGAGUGUCAUGUUUCCAAUUACAUCAAAGCAUCCUUUUCCAUUUCCAUGAUUCAGUUCCUAAUGGUGAGGAAUCAGUUUCUAUAUAUGCUUGAUAAAGAUCACCUUGCACCAUUUUCUUGGUUGUUGGAACCGUGUACGACAUGUCGGCAUGCUAUAAUUAAGUUCUAUUUUCCACUUACUUUCCUUUUGUCUUGAUUAACUUUACAAGAGAUAUACUUUUUAGUCAUCAAAAACUGUUUAUUAUUUGAUCUUUGCUCCUGUGAGGUUCUACACAUACAGACGCGGAUAAUAAGCUGCUUUGGCGGGGAGAAGAAAAUGUGCAUGCGGAAAAUAAUGCAGGGGAGGAGAAAUUGUAUGGUCAAGAAAGAGUUCAAAUAAAGCCAAAGUUAAUGAUGCAUCCUCUGAACCUGCCACUGUAUUAGAUUUGAUAUAUUUUGUAUACAGUGACAUUUGCUUUGUGCAACGUGUGAUGUCACAAUCUUAUUGCCUAUAUAUAUAUAUAUAUAUGAUAUUAAGCUCUAAACAUGGGCCUAAGUUCAU